UGGGGAAUUUUGGACAAUGGGCGAAAGCCUGAUCCAGCAAUGCCGCGUGUGUGAAGAAGGCCUUCGGGUUGUAAAGCACUUUUGUCCGGAAAGAAAUCCUUGGCUCUAAUACAGUCGGGGGAUGACGGUACCGGAAGAAUAAGCACCGGCUAACUACGUGCCAGCAGCCGCGGUAAUACGUAGGGUGCAAGCGUUAAUCGGAAUUACUGGGCGUAAAGCGUGCGCAGGCGGUUUGCUAAGACCGAUGUGAAAUCCCCGGGCUCAACCUGGGAACUGCAUUGGUGACUGGCAGGCUAGAGUAUGGCAGAGGGGGGUAGAAUUCCACGUGUAGCAGUGAAACGCGUAGAGAUGUGGAGGAAUACCGAUGGCGAAGGCAGCCCCCUGGGCCAAUACUGACGCUCAUGCACGAAAGCGUGGGGAGCAAACAGGAUUAGAUACCCUGGUAGUCCACGCCCUAAACGAUGUCAACUAGUUGUUGGGGAUUCAUUUCCUUAGUAACGUAGCUAACGCGUGAAGUUGACCGCCUGGGGAGUACGGUCGCAAGAUUAAAACUCAAAGGAAUUGACGGGGUCAUAGCUG
rnacentral:rRNA from 1 species